GAUGAACGCUAGCGGCAGGCCUAACACAUGCAAGUCGAGGGAGGAGCUUUCGGGCUUCGACCGGCGUACGGGUGCGUAACGCGUAUACAAUCUGCCUUUCACAUAGGGAUAGCCCGAAGAAAUUUGGAUUAAUACCUAAUGGUAUAUAGGAGUGGCAUCACAUUUAUAUUAAAGCUGAGGCGGUGAAAGAUGAGUAUGCGUUCUAUUAGCUAGUUGGAGAGGUAACGGCUCCCCAAGGCGACGAUAGAUAGGGGUUCUGAGAGGGAUAUCCCCCACACUGGUACUGAGAUACGGACCAGACUCCUACGGGAGGCAGCAGUGAGGAAUAUUGGACAAUGGUCGGAAGACUGAUCCAGCCAUGCCGCGUGCAGGAAGACGGCCUUAUGGGUUGUAAACUGCUUUUGCAGGGGAAGAAUAAGGACUACGAGUAGUUUGAUGACGGUACUCUGCGAAUAAGCAUCGGCUAACUCCGUG
rnacentral:rRNA from 1 species